rnacentral:lncRNA from 1 species
UAGGGCCCGAGCCAGCUGCAGAGCAGCCGGGCGUAGGCCCUAUUAUUCCCCAAGUGGUUUUUCUUUGUUUCUUUCUUUCUUUUUAGGGCCCGAGCCAGCUGCAGAGCAGCCGGGCGUAGGCCCUGUUAUUCCUGUAGGGGUUUUUCUUUGUUUCUUUCUUUCUUCUUUUUCCUCCCCUUUGAACUGGAAAAUGGCCCACUUCACACUGGCGAAAACUCAGGAAAUUUGGCAGGACGACCGGGCCUGGUGAAAAAUUUGAUAUUCCGAAGUCGCCCAAACAAGAAAAUGCAAAAUGGCUCCAUAGCGCCCCCUAAGGUGAAAAUUCACACUAUUGACUGUCACGCCUGUACGCUUUGUCAAAAUGACACAAAAAUUGACACACACAUGUAUCUCAAUAAGAUCUACAAAAAAGUCAGUGCGGGCGUAUCUGUCAAAUGUACGGUUAAAGGGUUAUUUCGCAUUUUUUGCCGAUCCGCACACAUUGGAAUUUCGCUAACUCCUCCGAAGGCUUUCGUUCCACCGGCACCACAUUUGCUCAGGCCAAUCUACACCCCAUGGCCAUUAAAAGUUAUUCAAAUCAUGACGCUGCACCCCACGGUUUAGGUUCUAGGGGGCGCCAAAGAUAACCCUAAAAUCCACAUUUUUAAAAGUCUUAUAACUUUUUAUUUUUGCCCUCACUGGCCUCCAAGUUUUCUAGGAUGAUGCAAUGUCCAGCCAUCAACACAUUUGUGAAGGAAUUUUUACUCCCCAAAAGAGCGCCCCCCCAUGGCAGGAGAAAAAAGUCCAUUUUUUUCUUGUCCCCUAAGGUGAAAAUACACAUUGUUGACUGUCACGCCUGUACGCUUUGUCAAAAUGACACAAAAAUUGACACACACAUGUAUCUCAAUAAGAUCUACAAAAAAGUCCACGCGCGCGUAUCUGUCAAAUGUACGGUUAAAGGGUUAUUGCGCAUUUUUUGCCGAUUCGCACACAUUGGAAUUUCGCUAACUCCUCCGAAGGCUUUCGUUCCACCGGCACCACAUUUGCUCAGGCCAAAUUACACCCCAUGGCCAUUAAAAGUUAUUCAAAUCAUGAUGCUGCACCCCACGGUUUACGUUCUAGGGGGCGCCAAAGAUAACCCAAAAAUCCACAUUUUUAAAAGUCUUAUAACUUUUUAUUUUUGUCCUCACUGGCCUCCAAGUUUUCUAGGAUGAUGCAAUGUCCAGCCAUCAACACAUUUGUGAAGGAAUUUUUACUCCCCAAAAGAGCGCCCCCCAUGGCAGGAGAAAAAAGUCCAUUUUUUCUUGUCCCCUAAGGUGAAAAUACACAUUGUUGACUGUCACGCCUGUACGCUUUGGCAAAAUGACACAAAAAUUGACAAUCAUGUGUAUCUCAAUUAGAUCUACGAAAAAGUCAAAGAGCGCGUAUCUGUAUAAUGUACGGUAAAAGGGCUAUUUUGCAUUUUUUGCCGAUUCGCACACAUUGGAAUUUCGCUAACUCCUCCUAAGGCUUUCGUCCCACUGACACCAAAUUUGCUCAGGCCAAUCUACACUCCAUGGCCAUUCAAAGUUGUAAAAAUCAUGACGCUGCACCCCACGGUUUACGUUUUAGGGGGCGCCAAAGAUGACCCAAAUAUACAUUACAGUAGACAAAGUAGUUUUGCCCACUGAGUGGCGCCAAAGGGACUUGUCUGUGGAGUCUGUGAGUCACUAUUGGCCGUUUUUGACUACUUUAGAUUUUACCUUUAUAUUUCCUCUUACAAAAUUUUUACCUUGCCUUGCCUGGUAUCAUUUUUUUCAGCACAACCUCACCUGUGUCAAUUUACAGUUAUUUUAUCAUUUUGACAUACUAUAUUUACACAUUGGACCCAAAUUCACACACAAAACAUAAAAUCCGAGUGGAAAAAAGUAACGUUUUUACUGUGAAAACCACAAAUAUGUGUGAUGAACUGUUUUUAAAACUUUAACUUCAAAUAAAAAUUGUAAACUUAAAAACAUAUGCAAAUUUUUAACAAAGAACAUAGUAAUUUACCUCUAUUUACAUCAAAAUGCAGGCAAUGGCCCAGGUGUUCUUUGUAAAAUUAUUUACAAAACACUGUAUAGUCUCACAAAUGUCACUUUUUAUUUAUGCCACUACAAAAAAACAUGAUGUAAAUGAUGCAUGAUGUAAAACAUGAUGUAAAAAACUUGUGUAGAUCCUCCUCUAUGUUAGUCCAUGUGUAAUUUUUCCAUAAUUCUUUGUUUUUUGCAGCAUUUUUGUUAGUGUAACUGCAGAUUGUGCUGACAGUGUCUAUGGCAAAAAAAAAAAAAAAACUGAAAAUGCCUCAACAUGAACCCCUGGUGGUCUCUGAGGGUGAAACCUGCUAACUGCUGCAGCUCUGUCAGCUUCAGUCUCCCAUGCAGAGCUCUGAGCGCAUGUGUGGCUCUGCACCCUUAGCAGCGUUGCUAACUCCUCAGUAAGGAAAGCCUGCUUCAUGUCAGAGUCUCUAAACUCCAGAAGAAGUCGAUAAAAGUCACUUUCUUUCUAAAAAAAAAGUCGUUAGGGGGUCUGAAAAGUCAUUGAAUCUAACAACAAAGUCGCUAGGUUUGCAACUACGUGUCCCAGACUGCAUCCCUGCUGAGAGUCCCUCCCUCCCUUCUCAUAUUGCAGGAAGAACGUAAGUUCCCGCCCCUUGUCAAUCAGUCACCAUAUAAUUUUGGAUUGGUUGUUGUGGUGAAGUUUUCCACCAAUAGGAGAGAUGUUGUGGUGUGUUUUUUUUUUUCCUUUGGCAAGCCUUUUCCGCCUGUAAGACCUGUCGCUAAUGUCUGCAUGCUAUGUUUUCCUGUCUCAUACAGCGCGAUCGAGCGCCGAACGUGAUCAAAAUAAGCAGAAAACAAGUAUCGUGGACAUAAUUUAUCAUAACUCUGGUUUUAUUUGGCCUAUCAACACAAUUUAAAAACUGGUAUAUAGGUUGAGGUCCUCACUUUUGAGAUAAAUUGAAACGGAGAAUCAACGAGGCUCCGUCUUGCAGCUACAUCCGGUUAAAUAUGUCAUGUGACUUGAACGCACACACACACACACACACACACACACACACACACGCACAGACACAGACACACGCACACACACACACUCAGAGUCUGGUUUUUAGCACCUGCAAAAACAUGCUAUUUACAUAUUUGACAAGAAUGCAGAGGCUCCUUUUGCCCCUGAAAAAAAUCAAAUUUCAAACACAACUUGACUGGUCAUUUCUCCAAAAGACAACCAUGAAGCUCCAUCCAAACCUGAAGCAGGCAGUUGGUGCAUGUGUACAGUAACCUGAGGGGAGUGAGGUGACUGCUUCUGAGGAGAACAUGAGCAGUGAAGAUUCACCUUAGAGCUAGAACAGAGACGUGCACAUGAUUAUACAGGGGCAGGGGCUCAAGUUUUUUCCAGUUGUUUAUACAAUAUGGAAAUUAAUGUGAAAUUAAAAAACAAAGUAUUAAUAGAAAGGUAAUGACUGUCCUGUGUAGGUGACAGUGAUAUCCAAUAGGCUAGGCACUCACGAGGCUGGCUGUGGCAAGUGUAAGUGAAAGCAACACGCACUGGCAGGAAGAACAGCAAACGCCGAUGAAGGAAAAGGGUCUUUGCAGUGAUGGGCGUUACCAGAGAGGGCGAUGGCCAGAGGACACAAAUGGGACGGGGAGGCAGCGCGUUGGGGGGGGGACGCGACACAGCUCGGGCCCGCCAGUGCCCCAACGGGGUCCUAGUUAGGGCCCGAGCCAGCUGCAGAGCAGCCGGGCGUAGGCCCUAUUAUUCCCCAAGUGGUUUUUCUUUGUUUCUUUCUUUCUUUCUUUCUUUCUUUCUUUCUUUCUUCUUUUUCCUCCCCUUUGAACUGGAAAAUGGCCCACUUCCCACUGGCGAAAACUCAUGAAAUUUGGCAGGACGACCGGGCCUGGUGAAAAAUUCGAUAUUCUGAAGUCGCCCAAACAAUAAAAUGCAAAAUGGCUCCAUAGCGCCCCCUAAGGUGGAAAUUCACACUAUUGACUGUCACGCCUGUACGCUUUGUCAUAUUGACACAAAAAUUGACACACAUAUGUAUCUCAAUAAGAUCUACAAAAAAGUCAGUGCGGCCGUAUCUGUCAAAAUUACGGUUAAAGGGUUAUUUCGCAUUUUUUGCCGAUCCGCACACAUUGGAAUUUCGCUAACUCCUCCGAAGGCUUUCGUUCCACCGGCACCACAUUUGCUCAGGCCAAUCUACACCCCGUGGCCAUUAAAAGUUAUUCAAAUCAUGACGCUGCACCCCAAGGUUUAGGUUCUAGGGGGCGCCAAAGAUAACACUAAAAUCCACAUAUUUAAAAGUUCUAUAACUUUUUAUUUUUGUCCUCACUGGCCUCCAAGUUUUCUAGGAUGAUGCAAUGUCCAGCCAUCAACACAUUUGUGAAGGAAUUUUUACUCCCCAAAAGAGCGCCCCCCCAUGGCAGGAGAAAAAAGUCCAUUUUUUCUUGUCCCCUAAGGUGAAAAUACACAUUGUUGAGUGUCACGCCUAUACGCUUUGUCAAAAUGACACAAAAAUUGACACACACAUGUAACUCAAUAAGAUCUACAAAAAAGUCAAUGCGCGCGUAUCUGUCAAAUGUACAGUUAAAGGGUUAUUCCGCAUUUUUUGCCGAUACGCACACAUUGGAAUUUCGCUAACUCCUCCGAAGGCUUUCGUUCCACCGGCACCACAUUUGCUCAGGCCAAUCUACACCCCAUGGCCAUUAAAAGUUAUUCAAAUCAUGAUGCUGCACCCCAUGGUUUAGGUUCUAGGGGGCGCCAAAAAUAACCCAAAAAUCCACAUUCUUAAAUGUUUUAUAACUUUUUAUUUUUGUCCUCACUGGCCUCCAAGUUUUCUAGGAUGAUGCAAUGUCCAGCCAUCAACACAUUUGUGAAGGAAUUUUUACUCCCCAAAAGAGCGCCCCCCCAUGGUAGGAGAAUAAAGUCAAUUUUUUCUUGUCCCCUUACAUAAAAAUACACAUUGUUGAGUGUCACGCCUGAACGCUUUGUCAUAUUGACACAAAAAUUGACAAUCAUGUGUAUCUCAAUUAGAUCUACGAAAAAGUCAAAGAGCGCGUAUCUGUAUAAUGUACGGUUAAAGGGCUAUUUUGCAUUUUUUGCCGAUUCACACACAUUGGAAUGUGGCUAUCUCCUCCUAAGGCUUUCGUCCCACCGAUACCAAAUUUGCUCAGGGCAAUCUACACCCCAUGCCCAUUCAAAGUUGUAAAAAUCAUGACGCUGCACCCCACGGUUUACGUUCUAGGGGGCGCCAAAGAUGACCCAAAAAUCCACAUUCUUAAAAGUCAUUUUGGCCACUGCAGGAGUACAGAGUACUGCAGUUCUAGGGGGCGCCAAAGAUGACCCAAAAAUCCACAUUCUUAAAAGUCUUUUUGGCCACUGCAGGAGUACAGAGUACUGCAGGAUACACACACAUAUACACACACGCCAACAUACACACACACACACACACACACACACACACACACACACAGACACACACACACACUCAGAGUCUGUUUUUUAGCACCUGCAAAAACAUGCUGUUUACAUAUUUGACAAGAAUGCAGAGGCUUCCUUUUGCCCCUGAAAAAAAUCAAAUUUCAAACACAACUUGACUGUUCAUUUCUCCAAAAGACAACCAUGAAGCUCCAUUUCAAACCUGAAGCAGAUAGUUGGUGCAUGUGUACAGUAACCUGAGGGGAGUGAGGUGACUAUUUCUGAGGAGAACAUGAGCAGUGAAGAUUCACCUUGGAGCUAGAACAGGGACGUGCACAUGAUUAUACAGGGGCAGGGGCUCAAGUUUUUUCCAGUCAUUUAUACAAUAUGGAAAUUAAUGUGAAAUUAAACCACAAAUAUGUGUGAUGAACUGUUUUUAAAACUUAAACUUCAAAUAAAAAUUGUAAACUUCAAAACAUAUGCAAAUUUUUAACAAAGAACAUAGUAAUUUACCUCUAUUUACAUCAAAAUGCAGGCAAUGGCCCAGGUGUUCUUUGUAAAAUUAUUUACAAAACACUGUAUAGUCUCACAAAUGUCACUUUUUAUUUAUGCCACUACAAAAAAACAUGAUGUAAAUGAUGCAUGAUGUAAAACAUGAUGUAAAAAACUUGUGUAGAUCCUCCUCUAUGUCAGUCCAUGUGUAAUUUUUCCAUAAUUCUUUGUUUUUUGCAGCAUUUUUGUUAGUGUAACUGCAGAUUUUGCUGACAGUGUCUAUGGCACAAAAAAAAAAAAAAUUAAAAUGCCUCAACAUGAACCCCUGGUGGUCUCUGAGGGUGAAACCUGCUAACUGCUGCAGCUCUGUCAGCUUCAGUCUCCCAUGCAGAGCUCUGAGCGCAUGUGUGGCUCUGCACCCUUAGCAGCGUUGCUAACUCCUCAGUAAGGAAAGCCUGCUUCAUGUCAGAGUCUCUAAACUCCAGAAGAAGUCGAUAAAAGUCCCUUUCUUUCUAAAAAAAAGUCGUUAGGGUGUCUGAAAAGUCAUUGAAUCUAACAACAAAGUCGCUAGGUUUGCAACUACGUGUCCCAGACUGCAUCCCUGCUGAGAGUCCCUCCCUCCCUUCUCAUGUUGCAGGAAGAACGUAAGCGCCCGCCCCUUGUCAAUCAGUCACCAUAUAAUUUUGGAUUGGUUGUUGUGGUGAAGUUUUCCACCAAUAGGAGAGAUGUUGUGGUGUGUUUUUUUUUUCUUUUGGCAAGCCUUUUCCGCCUGUAAGACCUGUCGCUAAUGUCUGCAUGCUAUGUUUUCCUGUCUCAUACAGCGCGAUCGAGCGCCGAACGUGAUCAAAAUAAGCAGAAAAAAAGUAUCGCGGACAUAAUUUAUCAUAACUCUGGUUUUAUUUGGCCUAUCAACACAAUUUAAAAACUGGUAUAUAGGUUGAGGUCCUCACUUUUGAGAUAAGUUGAAACGGAGAGUCAACGAGGCUCCGUCUUGCAGCUACAUCAGGUUAAAUAUGUCAUGUGACUUGAACGCACACAUAGACACACACACACGCACACACACACGCACACACACACACACACACACACACACACACUCAGAGUCUGGUUUUUAGCACCUGCAAAAACAUGCUAUUUACAUAUUUGACAAGAAUGCAGAGGCUCCUUUUGCCCCUGAAAAAAAUCAAAUUUCAAACACAACUUGACUGGUCAUUUCUCCAAAAGACAACCAUGAAGCUCCAUCCAAACCUGAAGCAGGCAGUUGGUGCAUGUGUACAGUAACCUGAGGGGAGUGAGGUGAGUGCUUCUGAGGAGAACAUGAGCAGUGAAGAUUCACCUUGGAGCUAGAACAGAGACAUGCACAUGAUUAUACAGGGGCAGGGGCUCAAGUUUUUUCCAGUCGUUUAUACAAUAUGGAAAUUAAUGUGAAAUUAAAACACAAAGUAUUAAUAGAAAGGUAAUUACUGUCCUGUGUAGGUGACAGUGAUAUCCAAUAGGCUAGGCACUCACGAGGCUGGCUGUGGCAAGUGUAAGUGAAAGCAACACGCACUGGCAGGAAGAACAGCAAACGCCGAUGAAGGAAAAGGGUCUUUGCAGUGAUGGGCGUUACCAGAGAGGGCGAUGGCCAGAGGACACAAAUGGGACGGGGAGGCAGCACGUUGGGGGGGGGGGGAUGCGACACGGCUCGGGCCCGCCAGUGCCCCAACGGGGUCCUAGUUAGGGCCCGAGCCAGCUGCAGAGCAGCCGGGCGUAGGCCCUAUUAUUCCCCAAGAGGUUUUUCUUUGUUUCUUUCUUUCUUUCUUUCUUUCUUCUUUUUCCUCCCCUUUGAACUGGAAAAUGGCCCACUUCCCACUGGUGAAAACUCAUGAAAUUUGGCAGGACGACCGGGCCUGGUGAAAAAUUCGAUAUUCUGAAGUCGCCCAAACAAUAAAAUGCAAAAUGGCUCCAUAGCGCCCCCUAAGGUGGAAAUUCACACUAUUGACUGUCACGCCUGUACGCUUUGUCAUAUUGACACAAAAAUUGACACAC